GCCCUUAGAGUUUGAUCCUGGCUCAGAACGAACGCUGGCGGCAGGCUUAACACAUGCAAGUCGUACGAAGCCUUCGGGCUUAGUGGCGGACGGGUGAGUAACGCGUGGGAACGUGCCCCUUGGUACGGAAUAGUCCCUGGAAACGGGGUUUAAUACCGUAUGGGCUCUUCGGAGGAAAGAUUUAUCGCCAAGGGAUCGGCCCGCGUUGGAUUAGGUAGUUGGUGGGGUAAUGGCCUACCAAGCCGACGAUCCAUAGCUGGUUUGAGAGGAUGAUCAGCCACACUGGGACUGAGACACGGCCCAGACUCCUACGGGAGGCAGCAGUGGGGAAUCUUAGACAAUGGGGGAAACCCUGAUCUAGCCAUGCCGCGUGAUUGAUGAAGGCCUUAGGGUUGUAAAGAUCUUUCGCUGGGGAAGAUAAUGACGGUACCCAGUAAAGAAGCCCCGGCUAACUCCGUGCCAGCAGCCGCGGUAAUACGGAGGGGGCUAGCGUUGUUCGGAAUUACUGGGCGUAAAGCGCGCGUAGGCGGACUGGAAAGUUGGGGGUGAAAUCCCGGGGCUCAACCCCGGAACUGCCUCCAAAACUGUCAGUCUGGAGUUCGAGAGAGGUGAGUGGAAUUGCGAGUGUAGAGGUGAAAUUCGUAGAUAUUCGCAGGAACACCAGUGGCGAAGGCGGCUCACUGGCUCGAUACUGACGCUUAGGUGCGAAAGUGUGGGGAGCAAACAGGAUUAGAUACCCUGGUAGUCCACACCGUAAACGAUGAAUGCCAGACGUCGGGCAGCAUGCUGUUCGGUGUCACACCUAACGGAUUAAGCAUUCCGCCUGGGGAGUACGGCCGCAAGGUUAAAACUCAAAGGAAUUGACGGGGGCCCGCACAAGCGGUGGA
rnacentral:rRNA from 1 species